rnacentral:rRNA from 1 species
UACGGGGGGGGCAAGCGUUGUUCGGAAUUACUGGGCGUAAAGGGUUCGUAGGUGGCCGGCUAAGUCAGACGUGAAAUCCCUCAGCUCAACUGGGGAACUGCGUCUGAGACUGGUCGGCUCGAGUGCAGGAGAGGAACGCGGAAUUCCAGGUGUAGCGGUGAAAUGCGUAGAUAUCUGGAGGAACACCGGUGGCGAAGGCGGCGUUCUGGACUGUUACUGACACUGAGGAACGAAAGCCAGGGGAGCAAACGGG